UCUCUGUUAGUAUAUCGGUUAGUACACGCGCCUGUCACUUGUGCUGACCGCGCGAAAGCGGGGUUCGACUCCCCGACAGAGAG